rnacentral:rRNA from 1 species
UGAAUACGAGAUGCUACGGCGUCGAAGCAGUCUAUGUCAUACUUCCAAGAAAAGCUUGCACUGUCACAAACAAAUAAUGCCUGUACCAUAACCGACACAGGUGGGUAGGUAGAGUAUACUAAGGGGCGCGAGAUAACUCUCUCUAAGGAACUCGGCAGAAUGACUCCGUAACUUCGGGAGAAGGAGUGCCUUAUUUAUAAGGUUGCAAUAACAAGACCCAAGCAACUGUUUAUCAAAAACACAGGUCUCCGCUAAGUCGUAAGACGAUGUAUGGGGGCUGACGCCUGCCCAGUGCCAGAAGGUUAAAGAAGUUGGUUAGCAUUAGCGAAGCUGAUGACUGAAGCCCUGGUGAACGGCGGCCGUAACGAUAACGGUCCUAAGGUAGCGAAAUUCCUUGUCGGGUAAGUUCCGACCCGCACGAAAGGCGUAAUGAUUUGGGUACUGUCUCAGAGAGGGACUCGGUGAAAUAGACUUGUCUGUGAAGAUGCGGACUACCUGCACCUGGACAGAAAGACCCUAUGAAGCUUUACUGUAACCUGAAAUUGAAAUUGGACUUUAUUUGCGCAGUAUAGGUGGGAGGCUUUGAAGAUAUUCUUGCGGGAAUGUUGGAGCCAUCAGUGAGAUACCACUCUUGUAAUGUUAGAUUUCUAACUUUGUAUCAUUAUCUGGUCAAAGAACAGUUUCAGGCGGGCAGUUUGACUGGGGCGGUCGCCUCCUAAACGGUAACGGAGGCGCACAAAGUUUCCUCUGAACGGGUAGAAAUCGUAUCUAGAGUGUAAAGGCAUAAGGAAGCUUGACUGUGAGACCUACAAGUCGAGCAGGGACGAAAGUCGGUCUUAGUGAUCUGACGGUGCUGAGUGGAAAGGCCGUCACUCAACGGAUAAAAGUUACUCUAGGGAUAACAGGCUGAUCUCCCCCAAGAGUUCACAUCGACGGGGAGGUUUGGCACCUCGAUGUCGGCUCAUCGCAUCCUGGGGCGAUAGUACGUCCCAAGGGUUGGGCUGUUCGCCCAUGAAAGCGGUACGCGAGCUGGGUUCAGAACGUCGUGAGACAGUUCGGUCCAUAUCCGGUGUAGGCGUUAGAAUAUUGAGAGGAGCCUUCUCUAGUACGAGAGGACCGAGAAGGACACACCUCUGGUGUACCAGUUAUCGUGCCAACGGUAAACGCUGGGUAGCUAUGUGUGGAGCGGAUAACCGCUGAAAGCAUCUAAGUGGGAAGCCCACCUCAAGAUAAGUAUUCUCAC